UGAGUAACAUCAUCCUGUUGGGAUCUCAGAUUCUUUGUGAUUGGGCUUGUUAAUUCAAGACUUGCUAUCAGUGGAAUGCAAGACUGUUUAAGACUUUUGUCAGAGUUCCCAAAUUUUAAUCAGUGCUUUUAUUCUGUCUAGAAAGAACUUGCAAUGGAUAGCCAUUAAAGACAUUUCCAACUACAUAAAAACUAUCUGUUGCAGUUGGGUCCGUCAAAACUGGCAGCAAUUGUUCCAACGAAUAUGAAAUCCAAAUAAGAGCAGUAAUAAAAAUGGCUGCGUCCGUCAGGUAGCUGCGUUGUGGGUGUCGUUUCUGCUGUGAAGGUGGCUGAUCCAGUGUGAUUGGAACUUGUUGCACCCAUUUAUGCACUGCCUCCCUAUCAUCUUAGGGUGGGUGGCUGUUCAUCUCAAGCUCGGGUCCUCUACUAGUGGCCUGGAAACUUGAGGGUCCUGCACCGUAUCUUUGCUGUUCUUAGGACUGCACUCUUCUGGAUGGAGAUGUCUGAUGUUUUUCCAGGCUCUCUCCAGCUCUUCCUUGAGCCCUUGGUAUUUCUUUGGGUUUUUUUUCCCUGAUAUUGCCAUCGUUUGGGAUGGCUACAUUGAUCACAACAGCUGUCCUCUGCUGCUUAUCCAUGAUCACGACGCCCGUUUGGUUGGCCACAACCAUCUUAUAAGUCUGUAUCUGAAAGUCCCACAUGAUCUUAGCACUGUAUAUAAAUGCAUAUAUACAGUAUACGCACACAUAUAUACAUACAGUAUAUCAUAAAAGUGAGCACACCCCUCGCAUUUCUGCAGAUAUUUAAGUAUAUCUUUUUAUGGGACAACACUAGCAAAAAGACACUUUGACACAAUGAAAAGUAGUCUGUGUGCAGCUUAUAUAAUAGAGUUAAUUUAUUUUCCCCUCAAAAUAACUCAAAAUAUAGCCAUUAAUAUCUAAACCCCUGGCAACAAAAGUGAGUACACCGCAUGGGAACUAGGUACAUCCCUAUGUCCAAAUUGAGUACUGCUUGUCAUUUUCCCUCCAAAAUGUCAUGUGACUCGUUACAGAAGUGCUGUCAGCAUUGCUGCAGAGAUUGAAGAGGUGUGGGGUCAGCCUGUUAGUGCUCAGACCAUACACCGCGCACUACAUCACAUUGGUGUGCAUGGCUGUCACGCCAGGAGGAAGCCUCUUCUGAAGACGGUACAAAAGAAAGCCCGCCCGUCUCAUCAGACCAUAAGACAUGAUUCCAGUAAUCCAUGUGCUUUGUUGACAUGUCUCCAGCAAACUGUUUGCUGGCUUUCUUGUUUCUUGUAUCCGACGUGAAAUUUGAUUCGUCAUUUGUCUCGACAUAUGACGACAUGCUCAAAAUACGAUGAUGAACUCAUUCCUUCCCAGCCAUUUUGACCAGAGCAAGGCCCUUUACUCCAGGCCGUUUUACUGGAUUUUCACUGAUAUUGCGAGGCCCACAGAAAAUUCUUUUCAAUUGCUAUAUAAACAUGAAACCCACGAAAAGAAAGAUUAGACUCUCUUCUUUCAGCAGAAAAAAAGUUAGUUCAUAUCUUUUUCCAUUCUUUAAAAAUCAGCAUUAGAAAAUAGCUUAGCUUAGCAAUUUUCCAAUUUCUGAUGAAAAAACAGAGAAAUUGAGCUUUUUGUGAAAGCAGUCAUUUCAAACAUAACUUUGACUUUAAUACAGCUAUUUUUCGCUUAUGUGACAUCCCAAACAUCUGAAUAAUGUUUUCAUUCUACAAAAUAACAAACAACAAGACAAAUAGAGCUUUUGAUCGCAAAGUAACAAUUUAUUUACACAUAACUAAACUACUGAACCGUUGAACUAUUUGCGCACAUAACAAGCAGAAGGCUCAGUAAUCUGAUGAGUCCGGAUCAAGAUCGGCCUCUUUUUUCAUCAUCUUAAUCAUCUUCAUCAUUGGUUUCAACCUCGGGCUAAAGAGUGGCGCAACGUGAGCUCGGCAGAACGCGUGAGGAACCUGACGCUGUUGUGGACGUCACCGUCUGUCUCAUCAAGAUAGAUUUUUUUGAAUCCUUCUUUGACAAUGGUUUCAUUUUUUUUUCAAAACACUCCUCCAGUGUCGUUUGCCUUUUUUUCCCCGGUCAUUCUCCACAUUUUCUCAAAUUCUCACGCGUCUUCACAAGAUCCCUCCAACUUCCGUUUCCUGACUAUUUUUUUCACUUCCUUUCUUGGCCCGAGAUGAGUUCUUACUAAAUGCGCUACUGACCUCCAGUGGCCAAUUUUAUUGCUUUUAAGGGUUUUAUUUUAGCUUUGUGCAUUGUAUCUUAGAUACAUCGGAACCUAUAGAUGCCUUUUAUUAAAAAAAAAAAAAAAAAAGAGAGAAAAUACGUAUAAAUACGUUUUUGGGACACUGAAGCAAUUAAAAAUAGAACAUAUUUAUACGUUUUUGGGAACAAAUAAGUUAACAACAGCCUCCCAAUUUCAUUGUCAUUUCAUCUCAUUAUUCCUACAAGACUGUUAUGUUGUGUUCUCAGUUGCUCUUUAUUCAUUUAAGCAUCUAAUUGCGCUGGAUAGGCGGGGUCAUGCGACGCACCUGUAGCGCAUUAAGAGCGCGUGGUAUUUAAGGACGCCUGUGUCUAGCAGCUGUGUCAGAUGAUUGCCUUGCUAACCGCCAUGUGUGUCUCAUCUUCUUUGUGCUCCACGACGUUCCUACAGUUGUAUCCGAAUUUGAUCAUUCUGAUUUUUGUGCUCUACUGGACUCUACUGGUGAUCGCAUUAGUUGUACUUUGUUUUACUUGCGUUUUCUGGAGUGCUUCCUAAGUUGUACUUAUUUAAUUCAAACAGUCACUUUUCCUUGUCUCUGAGUCUGUGAUUGGGAUCCACAUCAAUCGAAUAUUUUCUUGUGAGAGAAAUCAACAUGGGUCCCAAGAAGGUUAGUGCAGGUGGUGAAAAAAAGGAAAAGGGAGACGCUAACCAUUGGAAUUAAGGUGGCAAUGAUGGAAUAUGUCUACGAUCUGGACGGUACUCCUUCGACCUCGAUUCGCCAGUCUUUAUAAAUUAAACUGAAAAUUACUAUUAUUGGACUAUCAGCAAGGAAAUCACACGGCUUCGUCAGGUUUUUAAGCAUUUCUUUUAGAACUUGAACAACACGGCUCCUGACCGCCGUUGCCGACGCCAACAACAUGAAACGUAGAAGUAAAAACUCCUCUCUCACCAGUCACACAGUGCUUUAAGAAACCGCAUGCAAAACACAAACGCCACAUUAAAGCCCAAUUCGUUUCAUUAUUAUUAUUAUAUUAUAAUUCUGAUUUGUAUUAAUAAUUUAUUUGUUUUAGCGUAGGUUUUUGGGCUGUGAAACUAAUUGAUUGAAUUAUUAUGUAUUCUUAUGGGAAAAUCCUACUCCACAAACAACCGUUUUGACUUACAACCCAGGUCCUUAAGCGCGCUAAGUUUGUAUGUAGAGGUACCACUGUGUUUGGUUGUUUGACAUAGUCCUAUACAAUGCAUCUACUGUACAUAAAAAGAUUUCAUUCAUACUUGCAAAACGUGAUCCUAAAAUCAGGGAUGUUCCAUCAAAAGAAAAAAGAAAAGAAAACAUGAUUAAUUGUAUUUUGUGAGUGACAGCGCAACCAAAUUCUGUUCCACAUUGGAUUGAAUUGUUUUUCUAAUAUCACACGCUGUUUAUUCAAACUGCUCUUUGAAUUGUGUUGACUUCUCCCUUAUGUAUCCUACCAGGAAACACUCAGGCAGUUUUGUUUCAUUCCCCUCUUGACAGCUGGUGGCAUUUUGUAUCUCAAUAAGAGCUGUCAUUCUGUCAUGACAUGAAAAAAAAAGCAAUGUAUGUAGCCAUAUGCAUCCUGUAAAGGCCGUUUCAAACUAGCCGGAGACUAGUGUGAAGGGUUCAGCGGGAACCCAUUCAUUGUGUAUGUGGGAGCGAACUUCUCGACAAAUGUGUCCCUGCCUAUUUUUGUACCAAAAUUAACUGAGCACUUUAACAGAACCAAAAGAAAAUUACAUUUUAAUGUACUGUUACACCCCUCCUAUUUAGUUUGUUGUUAUGUGAUCAUUUCAGUUUUCUUAUGACACUGCGACUUUGCAGGAAAUUUGAGUAAAUGACCAGCCAUUAUUUGUCAUCAUUUGUGGAUUUGAAUUCAAGUUGCCAACUGUCCAUUGAAAUACGGGAUAGACCCGUAUUCAGAAACAAAGGUAUGCGUCCUGUAUUAAGCUUAUAAGGGACAUGCUAUGUAUUGUAUUGUCAAGAAGAUCGAAAAUAGUGUUUUGUUUAAACUAACAAAUAUGGUAUGGUGCUUUUAAGGAAUAUGUACAGUAGGGGAAGGCAUUCCCACGCCACACCUGUUUUCUGACCAAUGAGCUGAUAGAACAAUGACAAUCCCAUUCAUCUCAUUGGUGGAGGUACUGUGGGUUGUAAUUAUGAUACUGGAAAACAGCAUAGAAUCUGGGAGAUAAGAAGUUUGAAGCUAGAGUAUAAAAACAUGUUAAAAAAUGAUGAUCAUUUGUUUUCUUGUUCUUCUCUGUGUGCUGUGUAUUUUUACUAUUUGUAUUAUAUUUUUGCCUUCUGUUGAUUUCGUUUGACUUUUAACAUUAUAUUUGGAGUGAUCAUUUGUGAAACUUGUUAUUGGUGAGGCAAUUCAGUUUAUGUUUGCACUUUUAAAAAACUAUUAAAAAUCCAUUGCCAAUAAUUACUGCUUUUCGAUGUGCUUAUAUCAUUCAAAUAUAUACCUAAUUAAGGCUUCAGUAAAAUUAUUAUAUUACAAUUGCGGUAUUAAAAAAAUAAUAAUCAAAAGGUGAUGGUUAUCAGACCGGUCGGCUCUACCAAUGAGGUG